AGUCCUCUAUCCGACUUGAUCGUGCAGAGUUGGUUCGCACCGCCCAGUGAGGGGAAGCUGUUUUCUCGUCGAUUGAUAGGCUCCGGGUCUGGGUAGGAGAGGCUGCCCUGUAUGAGGUAGCUUGAAGGGCCGCUGACAGGAGGAAACGCUUCCGAAUUUUCCAGACGUGUUGACGUUUGAGGGUGCUGACUACACGUUAAGGAACUUUAUUGUCACGCCUUUGGGAAUAUACUGCCAGGCUCUUCCUAGAUAUAUUCAUUCUCUUUAAAAUGAGCAUGUCUACCUGGGUUCACCAGAAACUAAGUUUUUCUUAGCCUUUUGUGAGGCAACUGAAAAAUAAAUUGAACUGUAGGCCCUU
rnacentral:lncRNA from 1 species